rnacentral:rRNA from 1 species
UACAGAGGGUGUGAGCGUUAAUCGGAAUCACUGGGCGUAAAGGGCGCGUAGGCGGCGUUUUAAGUCGGGGGUGAAAGCCUGUGGCUCAACCACAGAAUGGCCUUCGAUACUGGGACGCUUGAGUAUGGUAGAGGUUGGUGGAACUGCGAGUGUAGAGGUGAAAUUCGUAGAUAUUCGCAAGAACACCGGUGGCGAAGGCGGCCAACUGGACCAUUACUGACGCUGAGGCGCGAAAGCGUGGGGAGCAAACAGG